GAUUUCAAUUUGGAAAAUGGCAUGGAAAUAAUCCAGCUUGAACAUCGUCCUCCUCACCUCCUGGACUAGGGCGAGGGCCCCUUAUAUUUCUUCAUGGCAAUUGUGUCACAGUUCAAACGCUCGUACCCUGACUCCAUCUGGGAUUUGGAAUGCACUCAGGGAAGUGGCUGUGCAUGGAGACUAGAAAUGGAAGAGGCUUCCAAGGUCAUGCCUUUCAGGCUCCCUUCAAAUUCUACAGCUACUGUGAAGAGAGUUGCAUUCCCACAGAGAACAUGUCAGACUGGAGGAAAAUUGUGACAAAAGGUCUCCCCAAAGGUCUCUGAAACUUCGAUCUUAUCUCAUUCCACAAGGCAAAGGCCAGUUUCCUAAAUCAAAGAAUGAAACAAAGUACAUCUUUUUCAAGCAUUGUUUUGACAUCACUCCCUUUUAUACAACUGGACAGGCACUCCCAUUCUCUUUAAAUAAUUUUUAAACACUCCUGAACUUUGGCUUGGAGAUCCUCAUUUGAAAUGAUUUUAUCACUCUAGACAUACUAGCUCAUAUUUUUUAACUUCAACCUGGCAAAAGUUAAUAUCCCUCAUAAAACUCU
rnacentral:lncRNA from 1 species